rnacentral:rRNA from 1 species
UGGUCUGAGAGGAUGAUCAGCCCACACUGAACUGAGACACGGUCCAGACCUCUACGGGAGGCAGCAGUGGGGAAUAUUGCACAAUGGGCGAAAGCCUGAUGCAGCCAUGCCGCGUGUAUGAAGAAGGCUUCGGGUUGUAAAGUACUUUCAGUUGUGAGGAAGGGGGUAAAGUUAAUAGCGUUAUCUCUUGACGUUAGCAACAGAAGAAGCACCGGCUAACUCCGUGCCAGCAGCCGCGGUAAUACGGAGGGUGCGAGCGUUAAUCGGAAUUACUGGGCGUAAAGCGCAUGCAGGUGGUUCAUUAAGUCAGAUGUGAAAGCCCGGGGCUCAACCUCGGAACUGCAUUUGAAACUGGUGAACUAGAGUGCUGUAGAGGGGGGUAGAAUUUCAGGUGUAGCGGUGAAAUGCGUAGAGAUCUGAAGGAAUACCAGUGGCGAAGGCGGCCCCCUGGACAGANACUGACANUNAGAUGCGAAAGCGUGGGGAGCAAACAGGAUUAGAUACCCUGGUAGUCCACGCCGUAAACGAUGUCUACUUGGAGGUUGUGGCCUUGAGCCGUGGCUUUCGGAGUAACGCGUUAAGUAGA